rnacentral:rRNA from 1 species
GAUGAACGCUGGCGGUAUGCUUAACACAUGCAGGUCGAACGGACUCUUCGGAGUUAGUGGCGGACGGGUGAGUAACGCGUGAGAAUCUGGCUUUGGGUUCGGGACAACCACUGGAAACGGUGGCUAAUACCGGAUGUGCCGAGAGGUAAAAGAGAAAUUGCCUGAAGAUGAGCUCGCGUCUGAUUAGCUAGUUGGUGAGGUAAAGGCUCACCAAGGCAGCGAUCAGUAGCUGGUCUGAGAGGAUGACCAGCCACACUGGGACUGAGACACGGCCCAGACUCCUACGGGAGGCGGCAGUGGGGAAUUUUCCGCAAUGGGCGAAAGCCUGACGGAGCAAUACCGCGUGAGGGAAGAAGGCUCUUGGGUUGUAAACCUCUUUUCUUAGGGAAGAACAAAAUGACGGUACCUAAGGAAUCAGCAUCGGCUAACUCCGUG